UACGUAGGUGGCAAGCGUUGUCCGGAUUUACUGGGUGUAAAGGGCGUGCAGCCGGGAGUGCAAGUCAGAUGUGAAAUCCCGCGGCUCAACCGCGGAACUGCAUUUGAAACUGUGCUUCUUGAGUGCUGGAGAGGCAGACGGAAUUCCUAGUGUAGCGGUGAAAUGCGUAGAUAUUAGGAGGAACAUCGGUGGCGUAAGCGCUUUACUGGGCCGUAAUUGACGCUGAGGAACGAAAGCCAGGGUAGCAAAUGGG
rnacentral:rRNA from 1 species